rnacentral:rRNA from 1 species
UGAGGAAUAUUGCACAAUGGGCGCAAGCCUGAUGCAGCAACGCCGCGUGAGGGACGAAGGCCUUCGGGUCGUAAACCUCUUUUCUGGGGGACGAGUAAGGGCGGUACCCCAGGAAUAAGUCUCGGCUAACUACGUGCCAGCAGCCGCGGUAAAACGUAGGAGGCGAGCGUUAUCCGGAUUUACUGGGCGUGAAGCGUACGCAGGUGGCUUCGUUAGUCGGACAUGAAAGCUCCUGGCUUAACUGGGAGAGGUUGUUCGAUACUGCGGGGCUUGAGGUUGGGAGAGGGACGUGGAAUUCCCGGUGUAGUGGUGGAAUGCGUAGAUAUCGGGAGGAACACCAGUGGCGCAAGCGGCGUCCUGGCCCACACCUGACGCUGAGGUACGAAAGCGUGGGUAGCAAACAG